rnacentral:lncRNA from 1 species
AAAACUCUUUCCAUGGACUCCUCCAUCCCCUUUCUUUUCCUUUCCUUUGGAAUUCUUUCACCUUUCUGUCGUGCUUGCAAUUGGAAUUCAACUUUGCAUGUCCGUGAUUCAUAGCUCGCUACUGCUAGAUGAUCAAGCCAGCUUAUCACUUAUAGCAGUACUACUCAAUGUUCAUUAGCUUGAUUCAUACUCUAGCCCUUGUUGCUAAAUGAUGAUGAGGAUGAUGAUGAAUUAGCACUUGUUGAUCGAUAAUGAUGAUGAAGAAGAAUUAGUACCUGCUGAUCGAUGAUGAUGAUAAUAAUGUUAAAUGGCUGCAUGAUUUAGUGGAAACGAAAAGAAACUAGGAGCGAUGUUACUGUGAUUGAUUGUCUUGAGAUGCUUGUUUAGUGGGUGUAGUUUUUGUCUCUUUCUUGUCAUGUUUUUCUGUUGCGUGUGCUCCGGGAUGCACGCAUCAUUG